ensembl:snRNA U6 U6 spliceosomal RNA
GUGCUCACUUCGGCAGCAAAUGUACUAAAAUUGGAACAAUAGGGAGAUUAGAAUGGCCCCUCUGCAAGGUGACACACAAAUUCAGGAAGCAUUUCACAUUUAA